CCUACGCGGUGCAGCAGUGGGGAAUAUUGGACAAUGGGCGAAAGCCUGAUCCAGCCAUGCCGCGUGUGUGAAGAAGGCCUUCGGGUUGUAAAGCACUUUCAGUGGGGAAGAAAGCCUUGGGGCUAAUACCCUCGAGGAAGGACAUCACCCACAGAAGAAGCACCGGCUAACUCCGUGCCAGCAGCCGCGGUAAUACGGAGGGUGCGAGCGUUAAUCGGAAUUACUGGGCGUAAAGCGCGCGUAGGCGGUCUGAUAAGCCGGUUGUGAAAGCCCCGGGCUCAACCUGGGAACGGCAUCCGGAACUGUCAGGCUAGAGUGCAGGAGAGGAAGGUAGAAUUCCCGGUGUAGCGGUGAAAUGCGUAGAGAUCGGGAGGAAUACCAGUGGCGAAGGCGGCCUUCUGGACUGACACUGACGCUGAGGUGCGAAAGCGUGGGUAGCAAACAGGAUUAGAUACCCUUGUAGUC
rnacentral:rRNA from 1 species